UACGUAGGGGGCAAGCGUUGUCCGGAUUUAUUGGGCGUAAAGAGCGUGUAGGCGGCCAGGUAGGUCAGCUGUGAAAACUCGAGGCUCAACCUCGAGACGUCGGUUGAAACCACCUGGCUAGAGUCCGGAAGAGGAGAGUGGAAUUCCUGGUGUAGCGGUGAAAUGCGCAGAUAUCAGGAAGAACACCCAUGGCGAAGGCGGCUCUCUGGGACGGUACUGACGCUGAGACGCGAAAGCGUGGGGAGCGAACAGG
rnacentral:rRNA from 1 species